UGCCCGGGGGGCGAGUCUCCGGGAGGCCGAGGUGCUCGGGUGGGCGGCGGUUCCUUGGGCUUUCGAGGACUGAGCUUAGCUUGGGGCCGGCUGCUGGGUGGACCUGUCUGCAGGCUGCCCCUCGGUUGCUCAGGUGGGGUACGGUGGGGCGUUAGGACCUACCUACAGGUGGGGGCUGGGGAGGGCGAGUUGGGAGCCGAUGGUUUCUGCUUGGAAAACAAGCACGUUUGUUUUGGAGUUCUCUGUCUGCACCCAGCCCUUGUCCCGCGGUUGAGUUGUGUAUUACAGGAAUGGGCUUUAUCGUCUUUUCAAAGUGGAGAAACCAACUGCUUCAGCAGCCAAUACAGCGGGCUCCACCAGCCUGUAGGAAGUGGGCCCCUGUUUCUGCCCCCACCCCGCCUCCUCCCGCUUCCCUUUCCUCCCGCCUCCCUUUGUAAAGCCCCUUUGACUUCGAGGGGGCUCCCUUCCUGUCUGCAUGAAAAGUCCUCAUUUUCACUGUUGGUCUGUGACCAGCAGGCUCCAGGGCUUGGGUUCUGGGUUGAGAUGGAAGCAGAGAUAAGAAGAGACUAUGAAUCAUGCUGCCAGCCUCCACCACGCGGGGAUGUGCAGAGGAAGCCCCAGACAGACAGACACACACACUCUGGAAGGCGGGAUGGAUUCCAACUGCUGUUCAGCUUCCUGUCCUCUUGGCAGGCAUUCCCAGCGAGGCAGGCAGGUGUCUGCAGGAUGGAGGCGCCACCCAGGGGAGGAGAGCUGAGCGGAGCAGAGGGCCCUGGUGGGUUUCUGUAGAAGGUCCCCUGCGGGUCUCUCCCGUCUCUUUCCCUCUGCCCUGUAGCCCUUUACUAGAUUCCAGGGCCCAUCAGAAGCAGAGGAAGGGGCCAUGGAGGUGGCAGGAUUGACUUUAUGGGAGCCCUUAUGGGCCAGAUACUCUUUGUUGUGUAAAACAACAUAUCCUUAAUUCUCUCUGAGCUAUGUGAGGGCUAGGAUACUGGUAUUUACUACAUUUUACAGAUAAGAAACUGAGGCUCAGAAAACUUGCUUCCCUUAGUCACAUAGCUAGUAAAUGGCCAAGCUGGGAUUCAAAUCCAAUCUUUCUGAUUUGAAAACCUGUGUUCUCCACCCGCCCCCCCCCCCCCCCACCCCGCCUUUUUUUUUUGGUGCUCUAUGAGUAAGGGCGAAUUGGCAUAGUAACAGCAGAAAUGACUGUUACUGAGCUCACACGAGGUGCCUGGCGCCACUCAAAGCACUUUGGAGGUGUUAUGUCACUUAAGGUGCGAGGGUUCCGGUCAUUCUGGUGGGAAUCUGGGAUGCGUUAGGCUCUCCAGCGGCAGCCCCCUUCCAGAACGCCCCUGCCUGAUCCCGCCCAGCUGCUGGUGCCUGGAUGGGGUGGGAGCCCUGUUUGCUCUAUCCUAGAGGUGGUUUGAGGUCUAAUGAAAGAUUGAUUGUCCACAGCUGAUCCGUUAGACCUGACCGUUGGGUUGUGAAUGAUCCCACUGUCCACUGAAAGGCCUUUCUCAGGCUUUGCUCAAUAAACAUUUGUGGAAUGAAUGAAUUAGCACGUUGUGCAGAGUGGUCUGCCGUCCUGCAGAAGUGGGCAGUGGCAGCCCGGGGCCCCCACCAUCCUCAGAACCCUAGGAUGCCAGGCCAGAUUGUUUUCCUCCUCAGGUGAGGAAGGUAGGUGAAUUGUGCCCCUGUGGGCUUACAGACUACCCUGGUAAUAUGUUGACUGGCACCUGUUUUGUAAAGGAGUUUUCAAGAUAGUGGAUGAAGACAAAUUUGACUUUUUAAAAAGUGAACUGGAAAAAUGACUUAGUUUUAAUCAAGUUUCUGCUCUUUCAAGAAGAGGGGAAAAUAGGAUGGUACUCUUCGUGUUCCAGCUUCCCAGACUUCUCCAUAAAAAAGUCUCCAAUAGCAAAAAAGCCUGGCAAGUGCUCCUGUGCAUUGGGGUAUGUAGUUCAGAUGGGCCCCAGCAAGCUUGAAAAUGGUUUUAAGGUUUUAUGCAGUUUUUAUGUGAUUCCAUAUGCUUGUUAGGUUUGUUUUUUUAUAUACAAAUAUUUGUAUAUAGUUUUUUUCCCCAAAAUAUUUGUGUAAAAUUGGUGCCCUGGCGUAUUGCUUUAUAUUCUUGGGGGCUGAGGGGACCCAAGUGGAGAAGCAGGGCAAAGGUUCUGGUCUCGGGGCUUUAAGUAUUGUUUGCAUUUUCUGUUCACUUGGUUCACAGCAAUAGAGCUUCUCAACCUUCUGUGAUGAUUACCUCUUUUCCCAUUUUUCGGAGUGAAGAACAUAUUUAAAAAAUAAAAACAAUCAUUGUUUUCCCUCCCCCCAGUCUUAUUACGAUACAAGUGAUAUACAACACUGCAUAAGUCUAAGGUGUACAUGAUGAUGUUAUAUGUGCCUAUGUUGCUC
ensembl:lncRNA